ensembl:snoRNA
ACCCACUGGCAAUGGGCAAGGAGACACCUGAUUGGUGGUGUUGCUCUUAUAUCAGUCAGGGGCAAAGCCGAUGUACAGUCCUUAGUUCAUCCUAGCUUGAUGCCUGAGUGGGUGGCCAGAGCUAUUUCAUGCCUGAGGCACAUAA